CUUAGAUCCAGAUCAACGUCGCCAUGGAUGAAAGGCAGAUGAUUCUGGUUGUUCUCUUUGGACUUUUUUCCUGGAAUCUCUGCUCCAUUUCUGCUUCAAUGCUGGAGACGAUUGUUCGACCUGGAGACAACAUCACCCUCUAUUGUGACUGCAGGCCGUCCACUGGAGUAUAUAUAGUCUGGUUUAGAAACUGCUCCCAUCAACACCAACCCACUCUUGAGAUGCAGGGUCUGGUUUCCUGCAUCAGAACAUUUCCAGGCCAGUGGAGGAGUGCGGUUUGUGCUGGAAGCUGCUGUUCUCUGUCUGUCCUGCUGUUUCUCUGCUUUCAGCUCUCUUCUCCUCACUGCUGGUCUACCUGCUUUGCCUGAAGAAAGCAAACAAUGAAGCUGAAA